rnacentral:lncRNA from 10 species
AAAACAGGAACCCGGCCAUUUUGAUGAACGGCGCCCAGAGCGCUGGCGGGAGACAAGGAGGGUCAGGUUCUGACUCCUGCACCCCCGGCUGCCCUAACCGGCUCACCCCUGCCAGGCCCAGGGAUCAAGCCAGAGAGAGCGACACGAAACCAGGGUCACCAGACCGACAGGGAAGCUGCUAUAGAACCCCCACCCUCUUGUAUAGUGCACGGUCUCCAUGGCAACCGCGGAGGAGGUCACGGUAGCUGGGCCCCCGCGCGUCACCCCGCGCCUCGCCGGCUGCAGGCGCCGGGAUUGCGGCCUCCCAGGCGCCGCGGCCCGCGUGGACUCAGCUCCGAGUUCUCCGCCCCCGCUCCGCCCUGCUCGCGGCUCAGGCCCCAGCCAUAUGACUCUGCCAGGUCCCAACCGCGAAUGGCGCACCUGGGCACCAGUGCGCUAGGCUAUACCUCUGUCCCCGGGCUCUAACACGCGGGACUGCACCACGAAACACGUGCCCAACCCCAAGACAAGAACACGUGCGGCAAGACGCCGCCAAGGGGCUCUCUGCAUUCGUGGAUGCCCUGGGUAAUCGACCUAUAUUGGCGCACAACUGCAGAGCUCUUGCUAAGACGCGACCACCCGAGGCUAACAACGCUGGCUUUGGAGUCAGAGCCCAGCCCCGCCUCGAUAACUUACUAGCUGUGUGACUUCGGCCAAGUCACCACCUCUCUGCGCCUCAGCUUCCUCAUCAGCAAAAUGGAAUUGUUGUGAGGCCUAAUUGAUACAAAAUACGUUCAACGCCUAUCAUGGUGUUUGGCACGUGGUUCUGAAAAUCUGUGGUUGGAGUUAUUUCUUCUUGGCUGUGAAAGCCAAGGCCCUAAAGACUUUGAAUAGGGGCGCGCGCUUAGCCCGGAGGCUAGGAGUUCCGCCUCGGGAGCUCCCCAGCACCUCAGCCUAGGCGCACAGGCGGCUAGUGGGAGGCGCGUGCGGGCUGCUUAGGGACUGGGCCAGCCUGGGGCGCGGCGGGCGGGGUUGCAGUCUCCAGAGCUCGCCACGUCCGCACCCGGAACCCUGGAAACGGGGCUCCCAGAGGCUCCCCCGCUACCAUCCCCCCGCCCC